rnacentral:rRNA from 1 species
UGGGGGAUAUAGCACAAUGGGCGAAAGCCUGAUGCAGCGACGCCGCGUGGGGGAUGAAGGCUUUCGGGUUGUAAACCUCUUUCGCUAUCGAACAAGGCCCGCUUAGGGUGGGUUGAGGGUAGGUGGAGAAGAAGCGCCGGCUAACUACGUGCCAGCAGCCGCGGUAAUACGUAGGGCGCGAGCGUUGUCCGGAAUUAUUGGGCGUAAAGGGCUUGUAGGCGGCUUGUUGCGCCUGCUGUGAAAACGCGGGGCUUAACUUCGAGCGUGCAGUGGGUACGGGCAGGCUUGAGUGUGGUAGGGGUGACUGGAAUUCCAGGUGUAGCGGUUGAAUGCGCAGAUAUCUGGAGGAACACCGAUGGCGAAGGCAGGUCACUGGGCCAUUACUGACGCUGAGGAGCGAAAGGAUGGGUAGCGAACAGG